rnacentral:rRNA from 1 species
CCUACGUGGGGCAGCAGUAGGGAAUAUUGCUCAAUGGGGGAAACCCUGAAGCAGCAACGCCGCGUGGAGGAUGAAGGUUUUCGGAUUGUAAACUCCUUUUGUUAGAGAAGAUAAUGACGGUAUCUAACGAAUAAGCACCGGCUAACUCCGUGCCAGCAGCCGCGGUAAUACGGAGGGUGCAAGCGUUACUCGGAAUAAAUGGGCGUAAAGAGCGCGUAGGCGGGAUAGCAAGUCAGAUGGGAAAUCCUAUGGGUUAACCAUCGGACUGCCGUUGAAACUGUUAUGCUAGAGUUGGAGAGAGGUACGCGGAAUGCGCGGUGUAGCGGUAAAAUGCGUAGAGAUCGAGAAGAACCCUGAUUGCGAAGGCAGCGUACCGGCUCCACACUGACGCUGAGGCACGAAAGCGUGGGUAUCGAACAGGAUUAGAUACCCUUGUAGUC